rnacentral:other from 1 species
CAUCCCCUGCGGUGUUCGUGUCACAGAGCCGCAUCCCCUUGAUCCAUAGUUUGAUCUGCCAGGGGGUCGGUUGGCCGGAGCCGGUGUGCAAGUCCGCCUAGCAGCGGGAAGCCUGAGGCACCGCGCCGAUCCCCACUUGAACCAUCUGGUUCAAGGGCCAAGGCUCCGACGGCACAGGCGGGGGAUGC